rnacentral:rRNA from 1 species
AUACGUAGGGGGCGAGCGUUGUCCGGAAUUACUGGGCGUAAAGCGCGCGCAGGCGGCUUGUUAAGUCAGGUGUCAAAAUGCGGGGCUCAACCCCGUAUCGCACUUGAAACUGGCAGGCUUGAGUGCAGGAGAGGGAAGUGGAAUUCCUAGUGUAGCGGUGAAAUGCGUAGAUAUUAGGAGGAACACCAGUGGCGAAGGCGACUUCCUGGACUGUAACUGACGCUCAGGCGCGAAAGCUAGGGGAGCAAACAGGAUUAGAUACCCUGGUAGUCCUAGCCGUAAACGAUGGGUACUAGGUGUUGGGGGUGACAAUCCCCCAGUGCCGCAGUUAACGCAUUAAGUACCCCGCCUGGGGAGUACGUGCGCAAGCAUGAA